AAUUAUUUCAUACCACAACACCCAAAACCCAUAUCAACUGCCAUCAUCAAACAGAGAAAAAGACCCUAAGAAGCUUGGUGAGUGAUAACAUAACAGAACAGAAAACAAAUUUCCUGAACACAGAAAAUGAAGUCUCCCUGAAGGAAGGCAAAAGACAAAAAAGAGAGACUAAAAUGGCUGUCUGGUAAAGGAGUGUGCAGAGAGUACUGUCCCUCACCAGACUGCGCUCCUUCAUUUCACAAUCACUUUUGAAACCCUCCUAUGUGCAGGUAUUGUGCCAAGUGUUGGGAGUAUCCAGAGCCCUUGCUCUCCUGGAGUCUAUACUCUAGUAUCUUUCUCUUACACUAGACCAGUGAAAAAAAAGACAUCUGGGUUUCUACUUACUCCUAGGUGUGAGCCUGUGCCCUGCUACUUAGUAACAAGCCAUCAAACCUCUGGGACCUUGGUUUCCUCACCAGUAAAAGCAAGGAUAAUAAGACCUUAACAGCAUUGUUGUAAGUAUUAAGUGUCAUCCUAUACAUAAAUAUAAUCUGCAUGUGCAAGUAUAAGGUAUUAUUUCUAUUGACUCUCAUACAGAUUCCUUCCCCCCACUUUUUGUUUUUGAUUAUCUCUUUAAUUGAGUCAAAAACGUUUUACCUAUUUGAAC
rnacentral:lncRNA from 1 species